UUCCUACGGGGCGCAGCAGUGAGGAAUAUUGGUCAAUGGCCGAGAGGCUGAACCAGCCAAGUCGCGUGAGGGAAGAAUGUCCUAUGGAUUGUAAACCUCUUUUGUCAGGGAGCAAAGUCACCCACGUGUGGGUGUUGGAGAGUACCUGAAGAAAAAGCAUCGGCUAACUCCGUGCCAGCAGCCGCGGUAAUACGGAGGAUGCGAGCGUUAUCCGGAUUUAUUGGGUUUAAAGGGUGCGUAGGCGGGUUAUCAAGUCAGCGGUAAAAGCCAGGGGCUCAACCCCGGC
rnacentral:rRNA from 1 species